GAGCCACCCAGGUGCCCCGCCCCCUGUUGUUUUUUUUAAAAGGGACUUUACUUACGCGGCAUGUUGAGUGUCUCCUGUACGUCUGCAUUCAGGGAGAGGGGACAAUGAAUGUGAGAAAUAUGUUCCUGCCCUGGUAAAGCUUCCCAGCCAGGGAGUAAAACUGGCCCGUGCUACCAUAUUUCCAGAAGGAAGGGAGUAGUACCGUGAAGUGAUGACAGACUCCUGUGAGAAGUGAGAAAAACAAGAUCGGAGAGGUUGAGCGAUUUGCCCAAGGGCACACAGCUAGUUUGAGAGUGGGGCCUCACCUGCAGUUAGAAAUUGCAGGGGAGACGCCCCCCCCAGUGGGUCUUGCCCGUGGUGGUUUUCCAGAUUUCACGAUUAAGUGAGAAUGGAGUGUAACGCAGGGUUUGGACACACCAGUGACAAGCUCAGGGAGGACGGCCACGUGUCUCCCAGCUCCACGAGGAGACCCUCUGAGCUGUGGGGUUCUGAGCCACGGGUUCAGCCAGGCUCCCCUUCCCUUCCCUGGGUCCUCCUCCCAGCAAGGAACCCAGGCUGAUCCGAGCUGAGACUUUUCCUCCUAGGAAGGUCCUGGAUGGGUCUGGACAGGUUCAGAGAAGGGCCCCGAGGCGGGAGAAAGGAAAUUGAGCCUCGCCUUUCUAGGAUACCCGGAGCCACCACCGUUUUCAGGAGUUGGCCGGGCUCCGCCCUCAGCCCCUUCAAGUCUGAACUCCCAGAAUAAUUAACCACUCACUGCAGGGUCCUGGCCUCUGCCAGAGCCCAUCCUACCCACCGGCUGUGUUCCCGGCAGGAACUUGCCGCCCUGGAUAACAAGGAUGAUGAAAUUUUCGUCCGCUUGGCAAAUAUUUGCCGGAACACCCCUCCUGUGUCAGGGACAGUCAGAAGUCUCCCAGCCUCGUCUAACCAGCCGCACUGGGUCGUGUUCACUCCUUGGAUCAUUGCCACGAGGGAUCAGGGCCCGAAGCCCCCACCCCGCACACGGCGGACUGAAUAAUGAAUCGGUCCCGGGGCCGUGGAAGCAGGGCUGCACGUGGCCCCCGAAAGGUCUGCCUUCCAGAUCCUUCAGGCCGGGGCGGGGCUCAAGUCGCCCAGGCUGAGAAAUGAGAGCAAAUUCUAGAUGGGAUGUCAGGUGGCCUGAAAAGGUGACUCAGACGCAGGAGGCAGAACUGAUGGCCAAGGCAGCGACUGGAUUGGAUCUGAUGUAAACACAACAACAAAGAGUCGAGGCUGAUCAGAAUGUUCUGACAUCUGAACGUGGGGAGGGGAGGGCUGAACCCCAAAUCCCCGCAGGGCUGAGUGACAUCUUAGCCACGGAACUGACGGCUGAUGUGAGACAAGCCAGGGAUGCUGCUAACACGACCCUCACAACAGCGUGAGCCGGAUACAGUUUAGAAGUGGGGAAACUGAGGUGCAGAGAGGUUAAGUGACUCUGCCAAGGUCCCCUGGCUAGCAAGCCACAAAGGCUGGCUGGCAUCCUUGUCUGGGAGCCUGUGCCCCUUAAUCAAUCACCUCUCCUCCUCUCUCGCUUGCCUUCAGAAGCCCAGUUUAGAGCCUUAUUAAAAAGCACCUGAAAGUUGCUCUUCCCAGAAGGGGACAGCAGGGGGCGGUGUAACCAGCAA